CCCACCCGCCCCUUCCUGCGGAAUCGUCCGUACUGAUGGUGAAGAACCCAGUAGGGCUCAAAUGGAUUCUGCAGUGAAGUGAAGUGGCUAUCACAUUAGCGUGUUGGAAGAGUUGGGGUUGAAAUUUUGACUCCUUAGGAAACAUCCUCUGCAUUUCUCACCGAUUUCCAACCGAUUCCCAAGUACCAACUGUUACUGCACAGACAGCACAGUGUAACAGGAUUAGCAGCUUAGCACCCUGGCUAAAACAGCUAGUAUCUAAUCCACCCGGCGACAAUUCAAGUAGCGCAAAAAAAGACUACAUCUUCAGAUAAUUAAACAAAAAGAGUGGUUCACAACAUGCUUGAGCUCACCAAGAUGAUGAGGACUAGCUAGAGAGUUAUCAAUUGGAUUCAGAAUAGACACACGAUGUUCUCAUCAUGUAACCGAAAGCUAAUCCCAUCUGUGAUACUAUUAAUUAUACUGUUUGUCAGCUGAAAAGCAUUUCGGGCCAUCCGCGUAACUUCUGAAAACGUGUCACCACCUUCAGAAGCAACGCAGCAGCUUCUGGCAGGCACAUCAUAAUUAAAUGCCGUGUAAAAACAAGCACCAGGUUUAUUAUCUCAUUGGACUAUUGGUAACCGGUGGGGACUGGCAGCCCUCAGCCAUAACUAGCUGGUCAUAGGUUAAGAACCACACAUGAACUUACCCAGUUGAAUAGGUCGAUGCGGAGAACAACCAGCUAAGAGACGAGCUUACAAGUUGAGGGUGAUAUAUCACACACAUUGUUUUUCUAUCUCGUUCAGUCUACUAAUACCUGAGUAGAGCAUUGUAUUAUACUCCCUUUAUCAUCUUCAACCAUACUUUUUUUCGACAAGACCUGUUCUGCUACCUCAACGCACGCACUCCGGGUUAAUUAGGAGAAGAGUCAGAGAUGGACCAAUCGCAAUCGAUGGGCUCCAUGUUAGCGGGGAUUGUGGCAACGGCUGUUGUACAGGAGGUGGUGAGUAGAGGAUUCUCUUAUGUGCUGGGCAAACGCAAGGAGAGGGCGUCCAUGGGGAUGGGGGACGCCUUGGAGAAGCUGGAGCUGGCGCACUCCCAGCUAGAGUUUGUGCUCGAGAGAUCCAGCAAGCUGCCCAUCACCAAUGUGUCUUUGCUGCGUCGACGGAUGAUGAUCAAACAUGUCUACCACGAGUGCGAUGUGCUCUUGAGAAGCAAGCGGCAUGCUCUGAACGACCACCACUCCUCAUCCUUUCCUUUGAUUCUUGGUGCGCAGGCCAUUUCGGCGGUGGAGAUCGAUGUCGUCGGGCUGCCAGGCAGGAGGCACAGACGAUGCAAUCCAGACUUCCGGCCGGACCGGCUGGCCGGCUGGGUGAGGAGGAGGCGGUCAUCUGAUAACUGCGAGGCGAAUAAAUGGAUUGUGCAGCUGGACUGCUCCGGUCACUAUCUCUUCCUUCAUUUAGCAGCUCCCAUUCAAUUAUGCGACGAGACAGACAAAGAGGCAGACAUUGUCAAAUCGUACAUUGAGAUUGAACAGCCUAGGCCAUUCUGUAACCAACAAGUUAGGAAGCCAUCCACUGUGCUCCUCGUCUCUUGAUUAAUCUGGAAGCAGAGCCAGUGGGCUGGCCUUGUAUCGUAAGGGAAAGAAGGUCAUUCCGCUUGGCAAUAUUGAGCCCAGAUAGUAGAAAAUCAUUCUAAUUAUUUGCUCUUAAAUGCACCAAUAUGUUGAUCAAUGGUGAUCACAUUAUAUUCAUUAGUUUCCAGCAUGUAUUUAGUUAUAUGCAUCUCAUUGCUUACUUCUGACACCUGCUGGGCUUGUCCUCUGAUUGGGGACGCAAGUCUUAUCAGCCACUCCGGUCCCAAUUUGUUUUCCGAAGCUUCAAGCUUUUCCUUCAGUAUUGUGGUAAAAUCAUCCGAACCACGUCAAGAGUGAAAGAAUAAGAGUAACACCGACAGUAAAAACGAGAUCAAACUGCAGUCAAUUUUGAAAUCUUGAUUCACCAUAUAAGUGGUGCAGCUACUCAAAUUCCACAUAUCUGUGGAUUCACCAGAUGCUUUGAACCAAACUUCUUCCCUUGGCAAAGUUACAACGAGUGACCAGCAGGACACAAACUACUGUGAGUUCACCAUCUGAUCAACACAGUUUCUGCCGUUUAAUUUUGACCCUGAGAAGGCGUCCUGGAAGGUCUUUGAGUUUGAAGCCUACCAUACCACACCCACUCUGCUUGGACACUGGAGAUUGCUCCAAUUGACAAAUUAAUGAUCAAACCUGGCAGGAGAUAACAAGCUGACAGAGAGUUUGCACGAUGUGGCUACUGUACCAGCCAAGCAUUUCUCAAUGGUGGACUAAAUUCCACAAAAUUUCUACACGCACCAUUCACGCAUGGCUUAUAAAAUGCGGCAGUGCACUCAUCUUGUUCUUCACACACUAAUUUUCCAAGAAGGCGAGAAAAGAAACAAACAUGAAUUCCAAUAGGGCGUCCAAGAUACUGGUUGUGUUAUUCCUGAUCCUGCAGGUAUCUCUCAUGUUCAUAGCACAGGACGAACUUGCUGCAAGGGACCUUGCCCAAAAGAGCGGUGCAUCAGACCGUGUAGUUGUGGAGUCAGGUGGGGCCAAUGCAAUGGGUUCGUCAUAUACGGGUAAUCCUAAUAACAAUUAUGACCCGCCUCAGUAGGUCUGAGCUGGAGCAUCUGCGUACUAUGAACACAACUCCUUGGGCCUGAGCCGGACCAUCUAUGCACUGCUCUCUCCAUUCCACGAUACAACGUGUAUAUAUUUUUCUCAUUUGUUCCACAAUACGUCUCAUUUUUCACUUGGUACGCGCACAAUGUGGAAUACAACCGUCAACGUGUAUAGUCAA